rnacentral:lncRNA from 1 species
UGACCCUAAGCAUGUGCGUGCUUUCUUUAAAACAUAACUUAAAGGGGCCCUGCAAGGCACCAGGCUUACUUUGACUGGCUGCCCUCAGAGUGUUUGAAGAUGAGAGUGUUAUUAGAAUCCAAAGUCAUUCAUUGGCCAGUGCUGGUAAACUAAAAUCCGAAACGUGUGCAAAAUGCGUUUUUUGUUUGGAGAAGGUGACAUCUCAUCUGAGUGCCUCAGGCCCCUGGAGGAUGUUAUCUGCUGAGAAGAAAUCACACAUGCCAGGUUA